GGCGCACCGACUUUCUCCCUCACAAGAACCGCUUGGAAAGCUUGUUAAAUAUUCAGGUUCCAGCUCCCACCCUCCAGGAGAGGCAGAUUCGGCAGUCCUGGGAGAAGAGUUCGGCAAUCUGCGUUUUAAACAAGUGUCCAAGAGACCCUGAUGCGGAGUUCAUGGAUCCCACUUUAGAAACUCUGCUCUGGAUGGAAAAUUAAUUUUGGGAGGUGGCUUGAGGGGAGGAGGGAGCCCAGGAAAUCUGCACUGAAGAGUUCUGAAUAUCUUAUUUUAGCAUCAUUCAUUCAUUCAUUCACCAAAUUCUGGGUUAAGUACCCCUUACGCAGCUAGGGCUGGCCAGUGCCUGGAAGAAUGGCUAUGCCCUCUGAUGAAUAUUUACUGAGCACUUGUGCUGUGCCUGGUAUGGUAUGUGCACUUUUCACCAGCUCGUUUAAUCCUGACACAACACUAAGAGGAAGAGAAAACUUACCUGGGCCUGAGACUCAGGUCUCUGCUUCUCAGCCCAUUGUCCCUUUCUAUCUUGGCCCAUGACUUUUUUUUAAAUAGCUUCCCAGGCCUAGAGGAGGAGGAAAGAGACACUAUGAUCUCGGUAUAGGAGAGAAGUUGGCUGUAGGGAACUGGUGGUUUUGGCCUUCCGUGGGGCCAGGAUCCAGUCUCUUUGAGGAGGGUGCUUCCUUUUCAGUCAUGAGGGACUGGGGCCAGUAUGUUUAUGGGGCCCGCAGAGACCGGGCUGUACCUGUGGGUGGGGCUCCUUGUCAUGGGUGAGGGGGUCCAGGUGUCCGGCCCAGAGCACUCCCACAGCAGCCUGGUGGACUAGCUCAGCCCCCGCAGGGCUCUGGGCAGACACUGAACCCCCUCAUGCCUGGCUUCCUCCUGAGAUUUGGCCCUCCAAGCUUCCCCUUCCCACCUACAAGAUGGGCUGCGAGUGGUUCGCUGUUGUACGUUGUCCGGGAGGGAGGCAUCGUAGUUUAGAAGUCCCAGCUCUGCAGCUCAGUGGCUGUAUGGCCUUAGUCAAAUCACCUCCCUUCUCCGGGAUUCAGUUUCUCUGUUUAAAACUGAAAUCUGAACAGGUUACACCCUUGCUACAAAACUUACAGUUGUCUGCAAUACAAAAGCCUGAACUUGACCUUCAAGGCCCAUGGCGCUCUGGCUCCUUUCCUCUGCAGGGUCAUUUUCAAUCUCUCCUCCCAACAAAUCCUUUGCUCUGGUUACGCCCCACUCCUUCAGGCACAUUCUAUUCCUUCUGUCUGGAACACCCUUUCCUCUACUCAUCUUUCAAGAUGCGGCUCAGAUGACUGUGUAGCAGACGCUGUUCUAAGCUCUGUACACAAAUUCUCUCAGUGGUCCUCAGACUUUAGCGGUGCAAUAGCAUCUCUUGGAGGAUUUGUUAAACCGCAGCUGGCUGGGACCCACGCCUAGAGCUUUGAUUUUGUAGGUUUGGGUAGAGCUUGAUAAUUUGCAUUUCUAACAAGCCCCAGGGUUUGUAGCUGCUUGCUGCUCUGUGUCCUACACUUUGAGAACCACUGUAUUAUUUCGUUUAAUCUUUAAAUGUGCUAGGCAGCCAUUACGCUCUAUGAGGGAGAAGUGAAUUCAAACGGUGCUGGAAGGGCCAAGGGGCCUGCCGGACUUACUGCACGAGGCAAGAGACCUACAUGCAUCUGUGCCCAGAUGGCUCCCUGUGCUGUCUCCCCUACGGACUCAAGGCUCCGGCGGCCCCCAAGCCUGAAUCUGUGUAGCCGGUCCUGGGGCUGGCACCCUUGCUCUCUAAUAAAACACAUGCUGCCGACUGUC